UACGAAGGGGGCUAGCGUUGUUCGGAAUUACUGGGCGUAAAGCGCACGUAGGCGGAUAUUUAAGUCAGGGGUGAAAUCCCGGGGCUCAACCCCGGAACUGCCUUUGAUACUGAGGAGCUUGAGUCCGGGAGAGGUGAGUGGAACUGCGAGUGUAGAGGUGAAAUUCGUAGAUAUUCGCAAGAACACCAGUGGCGAAGGCGGCUCACUGGCCCGGUACUGACGCUGAGGUGCGAAAGCGUGGGGAGCAAACAGG
rnacentral:rRNA from 1 species